CUCCAGAUGUUGCUGAAAUACAACUCCCAUGAUUCUCAGCCUAUCUAUUUCACUCAUAGAAUCAUGGGAGUUGUAGUUCAGCAACAUCUGGAG
rnacentral:miRNA from 1 species